UACGGAGGGGGCUAGCGUUGUUCGGAAUUACUGGGCGUAAAGCGCGCGUAGGCGGCUUUGUACGUUAGAGGUGAAAGCCCGGAGCUCAACUCCGGAACUGCCUUUAAGACUGCAUCGCUAGAAUUGUGGAGAGGUGAGUGGAAUUCCGAGUGUAGAGGUGAAAUUCGUAGAUAUUCGGAAGAACACCAGUGGCGAAGGCGACUCACUGGACACAUAUUGACGCUGAGGUGCGAAAGCGUGGGGAGCAAACAGG
rnacentral:rRNA from 1 species